rnacentral:rRNA from 1 species
AACGAACGCUGGCGGCAGGCUUAACACAUACAAGUCGAGCGCUGUAGCAAUACAGAGCGGCAGACGGGUGAGUAACACGUGGGAAUCUACCCAUCCCUACGGAACAACUCCGGGAAACUGGAGCUAAUACCGUAUACGCCCUUCGGGGGAAAGAUUUAUCGGGGAUGGAUGAGCCCGCGUUGGAUUAGCUAGUUGGUGGGGUAAAGGCCUACCAAGGCGACGAUCCAUAGCUGGUCUGAGAGGAUGAUCAGCCACAUUGGGACUGAGACACGGCCCAAACUCCUACGGGAGGCAGCAGUGGGGAAUAUUGGACAAUGGGCGCAAGCCUGAUCCAGCCAUGCCGCGUGAGUGAUGAAGGCCUUAGGGUUGUAAAGCUCUUUCACCGAUGAAGAUAAUGACGGUAGUCGGAGAAGAAGCCCCGGCUAACUUCGUGCCAGCCGCCGCCGUAAUAC